GCAGUUCCCCCGUGUGCGAGUGGGGCUGGGCGGGGCGGACGUGGGGCAGGUCACUUCGUCUUCCGAGGCUCUGGGGAAGGACCGCUCCGUCUCACGGGUCACUUGGACAGUGGGCGCACCCGAGGGUUGAGGCGUCAUCCUACGGCGGGGUCAGAGGGAAGGCCCCUCCUCUUGUCCCCGCCUGGGACAUCCCGUGGUCUUCUGCUUCCGGUCACUCAGAGUGAGGGGUUGCAGCUUCCGCUUCUCUCUCUUGACCCGGUCGUGCCUGGAGGAAGACGCCGAGGCGGGAGGUUUAAGUAUCCCGGUUUAAGUCUCCUUAGGCGAGGAAGGCUUCUCUUUCUAGCAGGUCCAGAUAUCCUGAGUCUCCCGGAAACUGCAGGAGGGGACAGGACCCGACUUCGAGACUGUAGGGUGGGGUGAGGGGAUGAGGGCCUCCUGACCUGGCUAAGCACCUUGGAGGGAACCCUGGCCACGAGGGAUCCAAGCACCGCUCUGGUUUCCCAGAAGCCUGUGGAUGACUCUCAUCUGGCGGUGGACCUCAGAUGGGGCUCAGCAGUGAAAGAGGGGAAGACAAAAAUCUGGCGAGCGAGCUGCCCGGGCCGAGACUGGCCACUUCAAACAGCCCUUCAAACAAAAGGAGACGACGAAAAGAAAGCCCCACCUGUCUCCAGUGUUUGCUAAAAUAAUAAUAAAUAGAUUUCGUUUAAUAAAUAAUUACAAGAGAUUGUAAA
ensembl:lncRNA novel transcript